rnacentral:rRNA from 1 species
UAGCGGCGGACGGGUGAGUAACGCGUGGGUAACCUACCCCAAAGUCCGGGAUAACAGCGGGAAACCGCUGCUAAUACCGGAUGCCUUUACCUUGGGGCAUCUUGAGGUAAAGAAAGGUAACGCUUUGGGAUGGGCCCGCGUCCCAUUAGCUAGUUGGUGAGGUAACGGCUCACCAAGGCGACGAUGGGUAGCCGGCCUGAGAGGGUGGACGGCCACACUGGGACUGAGACACGGCCCAGACUCCUACGGGAGGCAGCAGUAGGGAAUAUUGCGCAAUGGACGGAAGUCUGACGCAGCGACGCCGCGUGAGCGAUGAAGGUCUUCGGAUCGUAAAGCUCUGUCCUUGGGGAAGAAGGCGAAAGCUUGACGGUACCCAAGAAGAAAGCCCCGGCUAACUACGUGCCAGCAGCCGCGGUAAUACGUAGGGGGCGAGCGUUGUCCGGAAUUACUGGGCGUAAAGGGUGCGUAGGCGGCCCUUUAAGUCGGAUGUGAAAGCCCGCGGCUUAACCGCGGAAUGGCAUUCGAAACUGGAGGGCUUGAGUGUCGGAGAGGGUAGUGGAAUUCCCAGUGUAGCGGUGAAAUGCGUAGAUAUUGGGAGGAACACCAGUGGCGAAGGCGACUACCUGGACGAUAACUGACGCUGAGGCACGAAAGCUAGGGGAGCAAACAGGAUUAGAUACCCUGGUAGUCCUAGCCGUAAACGAUGGGUACUA